rnacentral:rRNA from 1 species
AAACCAACCGGGAUUGCCUUAGUAACGGCGAGUGAAGCGGCAAAAGCUCAAAUUUGAAAUCUGGUACCUUCGGCGCCCGAGUUGUAAUUUGGAGAGGGCAACUUUGGGGCCGUUCCUUGUCUAUGUUCCUUGGAACAGGACGUCAUAGAGGGUGAGAAUCCCGUGUGGCGAGGAGUGCGGUUCUUUGUAAAGUGCCUUCGAAGAGUCGAGUUGUUUGGGAAUGCAGCUCUAAGUGGGUGGUAAAUUCCAUCUAAAGCUAAAUAUUGGCGAGAGACCGAUAGCGAACAAGUACAGUGAUGGAAAGAUGAAAAGAACUUUGAAAAGAGAGUGAAAAAGUACGUGAAAUUGUUGAAAGGGAAGGGCAUUUGAUCAGACAUGGUGUUUUGUGCCCUCUGCUCCUUGUGGGUAGGGGAAUCUCGCAUUUCACUGGGCCAGCAUCAGUUUUGGUGGCAGGAUAAAUCCAUAGGAAUGUAGCUUGCCUCGGUAAGUAUUAUAGCCUGUGGGAAUACUGCCAGCUGGGACUGAGGACUGCGACGUAAGUCAAGGAUGCUGGCAUAAUGGUUAUAUGCCGC